CCCGCCUGAGAGGGCGACCGGCCACACUGGGACUGUAGACACGGCCCAGACUCCUACGGGAGGCAGCAGUGGGGAAUAUUGCACAAUGGGCGAAAGCCUGAUGCAGCGACGCCGCGUGAGGGAUGACGGCCUUCGGGUUGUAAACCUCUUUCAGCAGGGAAGAAGCGAAAGUGACGGUACCUGCAGAAGAAGCGCCGGCUAACUACGUGCCAGCAGCCGCGGUAAUACGUAGGGCGCAAGCGUUGUCCGGAAUUAUUGGGCGUAAAGAGCUCGUAGGCGGCUUGUCACGUCGGUUGUGAAAGCCCGGGGCUUAACCCCGGGUCUGCAGUCGAUACGGGCAGGCUAGAGUUCGGUAGGGGAGAUCGGAAUUCCUGGUGUAGCGGUGAAAUGCGCAGAUAUCAGGAGGAACACCGGUGGCGAAGGCGGAUCUCUGGGCCGAUACUGACGCUGAGGAGCGAAAGCGUGGGGAGCGAACAGGAUUAGAUACCCUGGUAGUCCACGCCGUAAACGGUGGGCACUAGGUGUGGGCAACAUUCCACGUUGUCCGUGCCGCAGCUAACGCAUUAAGUGCCCCGCCUGGGGAGUACGGCCGCAAGGCUAAAACUCAAAGGAAUUGACGGGGGCCCGCACAAGCGGCGGAGCAUGUGGCUUAAUUCGACGCAACGCGAAGAACCUUACCAAGGCUUGACAUACACCGGAAACGGCCAGAGAUGGUCGCCCCCUUGUGGUCGGUGUACAGGUGGUGCAUGGCUGUCGUCAGCUCGUGUCGUGAGAUGUUGUGUUAAGUCCCGCAACGAGCGCAACCCUUGUCCCGUGUUGCCAGCAAGCUCCUUCGGGGGUGUUGGGGACUCACGGGAGACCGCCGGGGUCAACUCGGAGGAAGGUGGGGACGACGUCAAGUCAUCAUGCCCCUUAUGUCUUGGGCUGCACACGUGCUACAAUGGGCGGUACAAUGAGCUGGGAUACCGCACGGUGGAGCGAAUCUC
rnacentral:rRNA from 1 species